rnacentral:rRNA from 1 species
UACGGAGGGUGCAAGCGUUAUCCGGAUUCACUGGGUUUAAAGGGUGCGUAGGCGUCCUGGAAAGUUACGGUUGAAAUCUCCUUGCUCAACAAGGAAACUGGCCGUAAAACUAUCAGGAUUGAGUACAUUUGAAGCGGGCGGAAUGUGUCAUGUAGCGGUGAAAUGCUUAGAUAUGACACAGAACACCAAUUGCGAAGGCAGCUCGCUAAACUGUAACUGACGCUGAGGCACGAAAGCGUGGGGAUCAAACAGG